AUUGAACGCUGGCGGCAGGCCUAACACAUGCAAGUCGAGCGGAUGAAGGGAGCUUGCUCCUGGAUUCAGCGGCGGACGGGUGAGUAAUGCCUAGGAAUCUGCCUGGUAGUGGGGGAUAACGUCCGGAAACGGGCGCUAAUACCGCAUACGUCCUGAGGGAGAAAGUGGGGGAUCUUCGGACCUCACGCUAUCAAAUGAGCCUAGGUCGGAUUAGCUAGUUGGUGGGGUAAAGGCCUACCAAGGCGACGAUCCGUAACUGGUCUGAGAGGAUGAUCAGUCACACUGGAACUGAGACACGGUCCAGACUCCUACGGGAGGCAGCAGUGGGGAAUAUUGGACAAUGGGCGAAAGCCUGAUCCAGCCAUGCCGCGUGUGUGAAGAAGGUCUUCGGAUUGUAAAGCACUUUAAGUUGGGAGGAAGGGCAGUAAGUUAAUACCUUGCUGUUUUGACGUUACCAACAGAAUAAGCACCGGCUAACUUCGUG
rnacentral:rRNA from 1 species